AACAAAGAAUGAGGCACACUAUAGGGUCCUAUAAAGACUUUCAUAUGUACCGUGCCCUGCAUGUUUGAUUUUCAGUGACUGCGGCACGGCUUGGCUGCCUCUCAAGGCGAUCCAAGAAUAAUUUCCAUGAGUAGAGGAAUGGAUCUGUGACUCUACAGAUCAUAGCACUCUGUUAGUCAUAUGUAUUUCAUUGAUUCUGACUUUUCUUCCCUGUCAUUUGAGUGUUUCAGUGAAAGGUGUAAUGGCAUGGCUGCAACUGACCUAGAUAUAAAACUUUGAGUACUCAGUGUUGUACCAUUUUUGUUGAAAUCUCUAAUAUGACCAUUGAAAAUACCCUGAAAUGAUUUAUUUUAUUGAAACUUAGCUUUUAUACCAUAUACUUUAGACUCUAUAUUAGUCUUGCCAUUAUUGCUAAUGCUAUCUGUAUUUGUUUUAAUUUAAUUUCUUGAGAAAAUAAUGUUUGAUUCCUAAGAAAAAUAGUUUUUCUUUUCUUUGUGAUGAGCAGACAUUUUUUACCAUGAUGACUGUCAUACGGUGGUCCAAGUUAUAAAUCUUUGUAUUUUACGCCCUGUCAAUGGGACUUAAUUAGUGCUUAUUAAAGGCAGGUGUGCUGCUGAGGUCAACCAGCUCAGUCGCAUUGGUUUAAAUAUACAGCGUGUUAGCAUCAGUUAAACCAAACUGCUACAGAUGGAUACAUAGACUGGUGAAAAUUCAUGUUUAUUUCCCAUAAAAUAAAAAGCAGUAAACUUUUAUCAUUCACUUAUCACUCACACCCACUUUAUCAUUCUCUCUAAUUUCAAGGUAUUUACAAUGAAAAUAUAAUGAGCUAUAAAGAAAUAGUUCAACAUUUUGGGAAAUAUGCUUAUGUGGUUUCUUUGUGAGAGUUAGCUGAGAAGAUUGAUACCAAUCUUAUGUUUGUGUUAAGUUUGAAGCUAGAGCCAGGAAGCAAUUAGCUUAGCAUAGCAUGAAGACUGGAAGCAGGGGGAAACCGCUAGCUUGGCUCUCUCAAAAGUUUAAAAAAAAAAAACACCCUCACUGCAUCAACAAGACUCCAGGAGGUCACUGGCUUUAGUACAUCAAGAAACAGUUACAGCAUGUAACCCUGACGCCAUAAAUUGUCAUUUUAACAUUUCUGUUUGUGCAGAUUAAAAAAACAAAGUACAACAUCUGAGUUUGAAAGGUAGGCAAAUUUAUGAACUUUGAACAGAGACAGGCUAACUGUUUCUCCCUGCGUCUAGUCUUUAUGGUUAGCUAGGCUAAUCGCUUCUGAGACGAAAGACUCCUAUAAAAAGCUCCUUUUUAAGAGUUGUUGCACGUUGAAAAUGAUAUGACACAAAUGUUCUGAAAACAACCAGCAUCACGCAGGAUUUCCUGUCUGUUGACUUGAAAGAUUUGCUCUGCUGUGCAUGUUAUCACAUAGACAUACAAUACUUACAGACAUUAUUAGGAGUUAGAUGUAGUUCUGUCUCCUUUCUCUCUAAAUCCCCUCUUCAUAUCAAGUGUCUUUGCUGUCUCUGGCUUGUGUCUUGUUUUUUCUGAGCUCUCCGUUAGCACUCGGAGCUGUCAAGGAAUGAUGCUGCACAGUGCUGCCAGGCAGAGACGGGAUAUGUGCGUGGACUAUAUGCGUAUGUUGCCAGGUUUGUGUCAAGAUUUCCAGUGCUCCCGCUGUGUUAAUGGCUAGGCUGUGAAUCGUCACCACGGCAAUGGUCAAAUGGGGCCAGGCUGAUGACGUACACCGGAAACUGCUUCAUCUUCAAAUCUUCGAAUCUUCAACUGUCCAGCCUCUGGACUAGUGGACUGAGCCCUCAAGGAUUUCAGUCAUAGUACUGUGACAUGUUCACCAUCAUCACAUCAAGUCUGUGCGGGCGCUGGGUCGCAAGGGGAUAAAAUGUGCUCAGAGACGGACUUAAGACCUCCACUGUUUCCAUGGAGAUAAAAUGAAAUUCCUGACCAUGUAACUCAUUUCAAAGUGUUUUUCUGAACAGCUCCUAAUGGUUUUGAAAUAUGCUGGUCUGCGGCUUUACUCUCACCAAACUUGGUCAGAAUGCUCAGAGAGAUUUUCCCUUUACAUGAACUGCUACACUGCUAUUAAAUCCUCACUGAGGAUCUUCACAUUGUAGACUGACAAAAAACAACCAUUACCCCACUUAGUUUAGCAGAUUAUAAUAAACAAAUCCAAGUCAUUAAGCCUAUUAUUUUGUGUGGACAUUAUAGGUUAUCUCACUUCAGUUCAUUUAUACAACAAAAGUGAAAAAAGCAAAUAUCAUCAAAAGUAAAUCUUUUACACAUCCUAUUAUCAUUAAUAUUAUAAUGAUAAUUAUUGUUUUUUUAUUAUUGAUAAUAAUAAUUAGUAUUUCAUUUUACAUCUUCACUUUAAACCCUAUUGCUGCAGGAUUAUGGGUAAUUUUCUAAGCAAAGUCUGGUGAAGUCUGCACCCCAAGCAGACUCUCUGGAAGUCUACAGAAAAUCCACUUGAGGAUUCUUGUGGGCUUGAUGAACUGUGGGUUUGGACAGCCCUCAGCACUCACAGACUUCUCAGGAACGCACCCGCAAAGUCCGCAAGUCUGCAAGUGCGGUUAAGUCCGGACAUUUGGAUUCAGCCUCAAUUUGACGAGCAAGUGUUGAGCAGUUGUGGGCACGUAGGGAGGGUCGUCACGGCUCUGUGCUCGCAGGACCGCAUUUGUGCAUGUAGAGCAGAAAUGCUCCCUCAUGAGGAUGCAUGGUUUUCCACUCGCGGAUAUUGUUCUGAAACUAAUUAAAGCCAUAGUUUUCCAUCAACACUUGUUCCUUGUUGUUUUCUUGGUUUUCUUACAAUAACGCUUUUAUUCUUACAAACAGAUUGGUUUUGUGCAAUACUUCCAUGCAUAAUAAGAGAUGGACCAGA